rnacentral:rRNA from 1 species
UACGGGGGGAGCUAGCGUUGUUCGGAAUUACUGGGCGUAAAGCGCACGUAGGCGGCUUUGUAAGUUAGAGGUGAAAGCCCGGAGCUCAACUCCGGAAUUGCCUUUAAGACUGCAUCGCUUGAAUCCAGGAGAGGUGAGUGGAAUUCCGAGUGUAGAGGUGAAAUUCGUAGAUAUUCGGAAGAACACCAGUGGCGAAGGCGGCUCACUGGACUGGUAUUGACGCUGAGGUGCGAAAGCGUGGGGAGCAAACAGG